rnacentral:rRNA from 1 species
GAUGAACGCUGGCGGCGUGCCUAAUACAUGCAAGUCGAGCGAACAGACGAGGAGCUUGCUCCUCUGACGUUAGCGGCGGACGGGUGAGUAACACGUGGAUAACCUACCUAUAAGACUGGGAUAACUUCGGGAAACCGGAGCUAAUACCGGAUAAUAUAUUGAACCGCAUGGUUCAAUAGUGAAAGACGGUUUUGCUGUCACUUAUUGAUGUAUCCGCGCCGCAUUAGCUAGUUGGUAAGGUAACGGCUUACCAAGGCAACGAUGCGUAGCCGACCUGAGAGGGUGAUCAGCCACACUGGAACUGAGACACGGUCCAGACUCCUACGGGAGGCAGCAGUAGGGAAUAUUCCGCAAUGGGCGAAAGCUUGACGGAGCAACGCCGCGUGAGUGAUGAAGGUCUUCGGAUCGUAAAACUCUGUUAUUAGGGAAGAACAAAUGUGUAAGUAACUAUGCACGUCUUGACGGUACCUAAUCAGAAAGCCACGGCUAACUACGUG